rnacentral:rRNA from 1 species
UACGUAGGGCGCAAGCGUUAUCCGGAAUUAUUGGGCGUAAAGAGCUCGUAGGCGGUUUGUCGCGUCUGCCGUGAAAGUCCGGGGCUCAACUCCGGAUCUGCGGUGGGUACGGGCAGACUAGAGUGAUGUAGGGGAGACUGGAAUUCCUGGUGUAGCGGUGAAAUGCGCAGAGAUCGGGAGGAACACCAGCGGCGAAGGCGGCACUCUGGGCUGGUACUGACGCUGAGGAGCGAAAGCGUGGGGAGCAAACAGG